AAGUCGUACGCUGAAGCUAGGGUGUUUUUCAUCUGGGUGGAUGAGUGGCGAACGGGUGAGUAAUACGUGAGUAACCUGCCCUUGACUCUGGGAUAAGCCUGGGAAACUGGGUCUAAUACUGGAUACUACAUACCUUCGCAUGGGGGUGUGUGGAAAGGGUUUUACUGGUUUUGGAUGGGCUCACGGCCUAUCAGCUUGUUGGUGGGGUAAUGGCCUACCAAGGCGACGACGGGUAGCCGGCCUGAGAGGGUGACCGGCCACACUGGGACUGAGACACGGCCCACACUCCUACGGGAGGCAGCAGUGGGGAAUAUUGCACAAUGGGCGAAAGCCUGAUGCAGCGACGCCGCGUGAGGGAUGACGGCCUUCGGGUUGUAAACCUCUUUCAGCACAGAAGAAGCGAAAGUGACGGUACGUGCAGAAGAAGCGCCGGCUAACUACGUGCCAGCAGCCGCGGUAAUACGUAGGGCGCAAGCGUUGUCCGGAAUUAUUGGGCGUAAAGAGCUCGUAGGCGGUUUGUCGCGUCUGCUGUGAAAGCCCGGGGCUUAACCCCGUGGUGUGCAGUGGGUACGGGCAGACUACAGUGCAGUAGGGGAGACUGGAAUUCCUGGUGUAGCGGUGAAAUGCUCACAUAUCAAGAGGAACACCGAUGGCGAAGGCAGGUCUCUGGGCUGUUACUGACGCUGAGGAGCGAAAGCAUGGGGAGCGAACAGGAUUAGAUACCCUGGUAGUCCAUGCCGUAAACGUUGGGCACUAGGGUGUGGGGGAACAUUCCACGUUUUUCCGCGCCGUANCUAAUACAUUAA
rnacentral:rRNA from 1 species